rnacentral:rRNA from 1 species
CUACGGGACGCUCCAGUGGGGAAUAUUGCACAAUGGGGGAAACCCUGAUGCAGCAACGCCGCGUGGAGGAUGACGCAUUUCGGUGUGUAAACUCCUUUUAUAUAGAAAGAACAUGACGGUACUAUAUGAAUAAGCACCGGCUAACUCCGUGCCAGCAGCCGCGGUAAUACGGAGGGUGCAAGCGUUACUCGGAAUCACUGGGCGUGAAGGAUGCGUAGGCGGAUUAAUAAGUUGGGAGUGAAAUCCUAUGGCUCAACCAUAGAACUGCUUUCAAAACUGUUAGUCUAGAAUGUGGGAGAGGUAGAUGGAAUUAGUGGUGUAGGGGUAAAAUCCGUAGAGAUCACUAGGAAUACCGAUUGCGAAGGCGAUCUACUGGAACACUAUUGACGCUGAGGCAUGAAAGCGUGGGGAGCAAACAGGAUUAGAUACCCUCGUAGUC